rnacentral:rRNA from 1 species
AUGGAUGAUUUGGAGAGGCGUCUGCAGCUCGUCAUGGCCGUCUACGUGGGCGGGUCCAGGCCCUUGGUGUCGUGUGAGGAGGCGGCGACGAUCUCAGCUUGCCUCAACAUUCCACGGCAUCGGUUCUCAGUUCACAAGUAUUUCCUGAAGGACUUUUUGGUGGUGUUCGCAUCCUAUGAGAUCAGGAACAGGGCCCUGGCUGGGCCGGCCGUGGAGCUGCAUGGGGUUCAGCUUCACAUCAAGCCAUGGCUACGCCAAGCUCAAGCGAAGUUGAAGAUCAUGCGAGUGCAAGUGGAUAUGUUGAUCGAGGGGGUGCCAUCGCAUGUGUGGUCGCGGGACACAGUGGUGGAGCUGCUGGGAAGUGCGUGCUUGAUUGACAGCCUGGCACCGGAGACAGAGAGUCAGGAAGAUUUGUCCCUCUUCAAGCUAAGGGCUUGGUGCGUCGAGCCGGAGGAGGUGCGGUUUUUUCGCCGCCUGUGGGUGCCGGAGCCUGAGCCGAUGUCCGUUGAUCCGGCGAAGCGUCGACAAUCCUUUAGGCAGCUUUUGGAGUACCCGACCUUCAUUCACAUUGGCAGGAUGUGA